rnacentral:tRNA from 1 species
CAACAGCUAGUAUAAACAAAACAAUUAAUUUCGGCUUAAUAAUUCCAGGUUUAACCCUGGGCUGUUUU